rnacentral:rRNA from 1 species
GAUGAACGCUGGCGGCGUGCCUAAUACAUGCAAGUCGAACGGGUUUUGCCUUCGGGUAAAGCAAGUGGCGCACGGGUGAGGAACACGUGGAUAAUCUGCCUUUUUGUGGGGAAUAACAAUCCGAAAGGAUUGCUAAUACCGCAUAAGACCACAGGGCCUGCGGGCCAAGGGGUUAAAGGUGGCCUCUAUUUAUAAGCUAUCGCAAAAAGAUGAGUCCGCGUCCCAUUAGCUAGUUGGCAGGGUAACGGCCUACCAAGGCAACGAUGGGUAACUGGUCUGAGAGGAUGAUCAGUCACACUGGAACUGAGACACGGUCCAGACUCCUACGGGAGGCAGCAGUAGGGAAUAUUGCACAAUGGGCGAAAGCCUGAUGCAGCAACGCCGCGUGAGUGAUGAAGGUUUUCGGAUCGUAAAGCUCUGUCGUAAGGGAAGAAGAAUGACGGUACCUACUGAGGAAGCUUCGGCUAACUACGUGCCAGCCGCCGCCGUAA